CUCCGCCCGAGGAGGAGGUGCGCACGUGGAGCGAGAGCGCUGAGUGGCGGGGCCCAGCGCGUUUGGGGAGCCAGCGUGGAGGACUGGGCUUGUGCGGGGGCGCUGAGUAACACCUGGGAGCAGCUAGGGCGGUGGGGACUUCCCGAGCCCGGGACGCGCGCCAGGCCCGCGAUCAGCGUGGGCAGGUGGAGCUGAGCCCAGUCGGAAGCAGGUGCUCGGUGCGGGCUAGGCUGUGCCGGGACCGUGAGCCCGACCCUGCGGGCAGCUCAACCGGGGAAAACCCUUCCCCGCAGCGGGAGGGGAAAGCGCGUUCCUGACGUUGACAGCUAACGUGCUGGAAAGCGAGGGAAGCUGGUCUGCGGUGGAGCCCGAGUGGGGGAGCCGCAAAGACCAGCUGAGUCUUAAAAUCUCCCAAGAGGUGCAGAAAAUGAACACAUCUCAGGAAUGUUCUGUACUUAAUAACCUAAUUGUCCAUGAAUCAGUGAGAGGAUAGCACAGUGUGGUGAAUCAAUACAACGGACUGCCACUCAACAAUAAAUGGGAACAAACUAC
rnacentral:lncRNA from 1 species